CCUUCCUCAAGGAGACUGGGGGAGAGAAGAGUUACCGCCCUAACAUGCACACCUAAUGUUUCCCAAACUUUUGUACCUUGAUAUGGUUUGGCUGUGUCCCCACCCAGAUCUCAUCUUGAACUGUAGCUCCCAUAAUCCCCACGGGUCGGGUCAUGGGAGGGACCCAGGGGGAGGUAAUGGAAUCAUGGGGGCGGGUCUUUCCCAUGCUGUUCUCACGGUAGUGAAUAAGUCUCACGAGAUCUGAUGGUUUUACAGAGGGCAGUUCCCCUGCACAUGCUGUCUUGCCUGCCGCCAUGUAAGAUGUGCCUUUGCUCAUCCUUCGCCUUCCACCAUGAUUGUGAGGCCUCCCCAGCCACAUGGAACUUGUUUUCAAGGUUUAGGGCCCAAAGGAAACAAAACACACACCAUGUCUCCGCAGCGUGGUGCAGAGAAAAGAGUGGACAUGAUUUGACGUGGCAAAGCUACAGCCAAGGGCACGAGUCCAAGGAAGACACACAUGAACCCAGAAAGCAGAAGCUUUUUAACUUGAUAUGAUCCCCGGUUAAAUAAUUUUUGACGAGAGUGCCAAUCCAGCAGUCUCCUCAACAAACAGCACUGGAACAAGUGGAAUUACUCAUGCAAAAGAAUGAUGUUGAACCCCCAUGUAAUGCAGUGGAGAGCAAAAAAGGAUCCAGAGGAGAAGGAAGCCGCUCACACCCUCCGGGGCAGGCAUGCGGAGGUGGCAUUUGCCUGGCUUCCUGCUGGGACUUCCUCACAGCGUGCCCACGUCUCUUGGAAAAACUCCUCUGCUCUGAGACAGAACCGGCUUUGGCACGGCCUGGAUGUACCAACCCCCCUCGCCUUCCUCAGUUGUGCAGUGAUUUGUUCAGCCUUUCCGCAGCUGGUGGACAUUUACAUUCUAAAAACUACUUACGUGGUGGUGUCAUUAAGAUGCUGGUGGAUUCUACCUCAUUUGCAUAUCCAGGAGUUUCUCAGAUGGAUUCCUCAAGGUGGGUGGAUGAAGGGGGCCAGCCCCUCCACACCUGUGGGUAUUUCUCAUCAGGUGGGACGAGAGACUGAGAAAAGAAAUAAGACACAAAGUAUGGAGAAAGAACAGUGGGCCCAGGAGACGGCGCUCAGCAUCCGGAGGACCCGCACCGGCACCGGUCUCUGA
rnacentral:lncRNA from 1 species